rnacentral:rRNA from 1 species
GACAGAGGUGCCGAGCGUUAGGCGGAAUCACUGGGCGUAAAGGGCGCGUAGGCGGCCAUUCAAGUCGGGGGUGAAAGCCUGUGGCUCAACCACAGAAUUGCCUUCGAUACUGUUUGGCUUGAGACCGGAAGAGGUUAGUGGAACUGCGAGUGUAGAGGUGAAAUUCGUAGAUAUUCGCAAGAACACCAGUGGCGAAGGCGGCUAACUGGUCCGGUUCUGACGCUGAGGCGCGAAAGCGUGGGGAGCAAACAGG